GAACGACUCUCGGCAACGGAUAUCUCGGCUCUUGCAUCGAUGAAGAACGUAGCGAAAUGCGAUACUUGGUGUGAAUUGCAGAAUCCCGUGAACCAUCGAGUCUUUGAACGCAAGUUGCGCCCGAAGCCCUUAGGCUGAGGGCACGCCUGCCUGGGUGUCACCAA
rnacentral:rRNA from 1 species